GCGGAGGNAAAGNANNCAACAGGGAUUGCUCUAGUAACGGCGAGUGAAGCAGCAAUAGCUCAAAUUUGAAAUCUGGCGUCUUCGACGUCCGAGUUGUAAUUUGUAGAGGAUGCUUCUGAGUGGCCACCGACCUAAGUUCCUUGGAACAGGACGUCAUAGAGGGUGAGAAUCCCGUAUGCGGUCGGAAAGGCGCUCUAUACGUAGCUCCUUCGACGAGUCGAGUUGUUUGGGAAUGCAGCUCUAAAUGGGAGGUAAAUUUCUUCUAAAGCUAAAUAUUGGCCAGAGACCGAUAGCGCACAAGUAGAGUGAUCGAAAGAUGAAAAGCACUUUGGAAAGAGAGUUAAAAAGCACGUGAAAUUGUUAAAAGGGAAGGGAUUGCAACCAGACUUGCUCGCGGUGUUCCGCCGGUCUUCUGACCGGUCUACUCGCCGCGUUGCAGGCCAGCAUCGUCUGGUGCCGCUGGAUAAGACUUGAGGAAUGUAGCUCCCUCGGGAGUGUUAUAGCCUCUUGUGAUGCAGCGAGCGCCGGGCGAGGUCCGCGCUUCGGCUAGGAUGCUGGCGUAAUGGUCGUAAUCCGCCCGUCUUGAAACACGGACCAAGGAGUCUAACAUCUAUGCGAGUGUUCGGGUGUCAAACCCCUACGCGUAAUGAAAGUGAACGGAGGUGAGAACCGCAAGGUGCAUCAUCGACCGAUCCUGAUGUCUUCGGAUGGAUUUGAGUAAGAGCAUAGCUGUUGGGACCCGAAAGAUGGUGAACUAUGCCUGAAUAGGGUGAAGCCAGAGGAAACUCUGGUGGAGGCUCGCAGCGGUUCUGACGUGCAAAUCGAUCGUCAAAUUUGGGUAUAGGGGCGAAAGACUAAUCGAACCAUCUAGUAG
rnacentral:rRNA from 1 species